rnacentral:rRNA from 1 species
GUAGACUCUCAAGAGCGGGUGGCGAGACGCAGGUGGGAGAUAUCCUACUCAGAGACCCGGGAGGUCCCUGACGAUCGCGUGAGGAGACCUGUGCACGAUAGAACCUCGUAGUCAGGUUAACGUGCAGACUGUUGGGCCUACGGGGCGUCAGUGCCGAGAGAAGUGUAAGUCUGCUACUGGGAGUACGUCCGCAAGGAUGAAACUAAAGGAAUGGCGGGGAGCACCGCAACGGGAGGAGCGUGCGGUUUAAUUGGAUUCAACACCGGAAAACUCACCAGCGGCGACUGUUACAUGAAAGUCAGGCCGAUGACCUUACUAGAUUUUCAGAGAGGUGGUGCAUGGCCGUCGUCAGUUCGUACCGUAAGGCGUUCUCUUAAGUGAGAGUACGAACGAGACCCUCACCAAUAGUUGCUACCCAGUCCUCCGGGGCUAGGGCACACUAUUGGGACCGCUGGCGCUAAGUCAGAGGAAGGAGAGGUCAACGGUAGGUCAGUAUGCCCCGAAUCUGCAAAAAAACACGCGCGCUACAAAGGGCGGGACAAUGGGCUCCGACACCGAAAGGUGAAGGUAAUCCCGAAACCCGUCCGUAGUUCGGAUUGAGGGUUGUAACUCACCCUCAUGAAGCUGGAUUCCGUAGUAAUCGCGAAUCAACAACUCGCGGUGAAUAUGCCCCUGCUCCUGCACGCGCCGUAAUCUAGUGCACCGCGAGGGCGAGCUCGAAUCACGGCCGCGUACAC